GGCUGUUUAAAAAGAUUUAUAUUAAAUCUUUGGGUUCAACCCAAAAAAUGUAUAAAUUACUCUUAAACUUGAGUUCAAUAUAAGAAAAUAGAAUUUUGUGUGUAGCGGUGAAAUGUGUAGAUAUGCAAAGGAAUGCCGAAGGCGAAAGCAUUUUUCUUGAUUAUAACUGACGCUUAUACACGAAAGCGUGGGUAGCAAACAGGAUUAGAUACCCUGGUAGUCCACGCCCUAAACUAUGUCGAUUAGCUGUUUUUUAGUAGCGAAGCUAACGCGUUAAAUCGACCGCCUGGGGACUACGAUCGCAAGAUUAAAACUCAAAGGAAUUGACGGGGACCAGCACAAGCGGUGGAUGAUGUGGAUUAAUUCGAUGAUACACGAAAAACCUUACCUACUCUUGACAUGGUUAGAAUUUUAUUGAAAAAUAAAAGUGCUUGAAAAAGAACUGACACACAGGUGCUGCAUGGCUGUUGUCAGCUCGUGUCGUGAGAUGUUGGGUUAAGUCCCGCAACGAGCGCAACCCCCACUCUUAGUUGCUAAGUUUUAAGUACUUUAAGAGAACUGCCGACAAUAAGUCUAGGAGGAAGGAGGGGAAGACUUCAAGUCCUCAUGGCCCUUAUGAGUAGGGCUUCACACGUCAUACAAUGGUUGAUACAAUAAGUUGCGAAAUUGCAAAAUGGAGCCAAUCUCAAAAAUCAAUCUUAGUUCGGAUUGUACUCUGCAACUCGAGUGCAUGAAGUUGGAAUCGCUAGUAAUCGCAGAUCAGCAUGCUGCGG
rnacentral:rRNA from 1 species